rnacentral:antisense_RNA from 1 species
AAAUAUGGCGUGAUUGGGUGGGCAACCUUCGGGUUGGCCGUUACUCGUUGCGGUAUUGCGACCCCACGCAUGAUCGCCGCCUAU